AUACAAUGUUUCCGUGUUGGUCUCUGUAUGGCGGUGAACGAUUGUCACGUAAAAGAUACAGGGAACAUAACAUAAAUUGGCGAUGAGGUGCGUAGUUCUGAAGACGUUUGACUGGUCAUCAGAACAAAAGAAGAACCACGUUGGAAGCUAGCUAGUGAGCUAGAGUGUAUCUGUUAAGAGGUGAUGAGCCAAUCCUCUAACGAAGACUCCGUUAUUGAAGAGAAAGCAACUGAGAGCGGACGCAUCAUGGCGGGAAUAAUUGGAAAUAUGGAUCCCUUUGAUGAUACCGGUGAACAAUGGGCAACGUAUAUUGAGCGUUUUGAACAUUACAUUCUGGCUAAUGAGAUCAGAACAGCUAAGAAAGUGCCGGUGUUGUUUAGUGUGAUGGGACCAAGAAUUUAUGGAUUACUUCGCAGUUUAGUGGCUCCUGACAAGCCUGGGGAGAUGGAUUAUGGACGUGUUGUGGAAGUAGGCCUAUUGCAAAACCAUUUCGCUCCAAGACCGCUUGUUAUAGCGGAAAGAUUCCGGUUCCACAAGCGAAAUCAGGGGGAAGAGGAAACCGUGGCACAGUACGUUGCUGUACUGAAAAGACUUUCGGAACAUUGUGAGUUCGGUGCUUAUCUUGAAGACGCACUACGGGACAGAUUUGUCUAUGGACUUAAGACUGAAACAGUUCAGAAGCGCCUUUUAACCGAGAAGGAUCUCACUUUUCAGAAAGCAGUGGAUUAUGCCAAGUACCCCUGACUGCAGCCCGCAGACGGAGCCCACAUGGAGGGGGCGGGCACUCAGUCCACAUGGAGGGGGCUGGCACUCCGCCCACAUGGAGGGGGCGGGCACUCAGUCCACAUGGAGGGGGCGGCCACUCAGUUCACAUUGAGGACUGGUCAAACAGCAUUUCUGAUCCCGUUUCUGACCUGAAAUUAGCUGAAAUGUACCUGAAAUUACCUGAAAUUAGAGUGUGCCCGCCCGAGCGAGUGAUGCCUAAAACAUGCAAACAAAACUGAAGACCAGGAACUGGAACCUGGGAACCUGGAAGAUGAUGUUGUCCUGAAGGACACAAUUCAGGCAGCAGCAUGGUGCCAGUUAGUCUUUCAAGGACAGUGUUUCUCUCCCAGAGGUCAUUGGGAUGGAAGGUUGGGAGCAGAUGGCAGCAUCAACACAGCGCAAAUCCCAUGACGGCGGGGAUGAGGAAGAAACGUGGAAACCAUUCCAAUUCUCAUUCAGAUUACAUACUGACUAUGAACUGUUCUGUGUGGAGAUGAUGGACAGGAGAAACCUGAAGGUGUUUGCCUCUUUUGAGUCAAACACCUCUCCCCCUCCCCGUGACGCCUGCGCCACACGACUCCAGUAGUCUGAUGAUGCAGCAUAAUGGCGGCGCUUGGCAGCUAUGGCGGCGAUGUCGGGCGACAGAGCGUGAAGC